CAAUAGCGUAUAUUUAAGUUGCUGCAGUUAAAAAGCUCGUAGUUGGAUUUCGGGUGGGAAUGGCCGGUCCGCCGUUUCGGUGUGCACUUGCUACGCCCACCUUGCUGCCGGGGACGUGCUCUUGAGUUCACGCUCGGGACACGGAGUCGGCGAGGUUACUUUGAGUAAAUUAGAGUGUUCAAAGCAGGCCUACGCUCUGAAUACAUUAGCAUGGAAUAACACGACAGGACUCUGGCCUAUCUUGUUGGUCUGUAGGACCGGAGUAAUGAUUAAGGGGGACAGUCGGGGGCAUUCGUAUUUCAUUGUCAGAGGUGAAAUUCUUGGAUUUAUGAAAGACGAACUACUGCGAAAGCAUUUGCCAAGGAUGUUUUCAUUAA
rnacentral:rRNA from 1 species